UACGGAGGGUGCAAGCGUUGUCCGGAUUUAUUGGGCGUAAAGAGCGUGUAGGCGGCCUUACAGGUCAGCUGUGAAAACUCGAGGCUCAACCUCGAGACGUCGGUUGAAACCGUAUGGCUAGAGUCCGGAAGAGGAGAGUGGAAUUCCCGGUGUAGCGGUGAAAUGCGCAGAUAUCAGGAGGAACACCGAUGGCGAAGGCAGGUCUCUGGGCAUUAACUGACGCUGAGGAGCGAAAGCAUGGGGAGCGAACAGG
rnacentral:rRNA from 1 species